CUACCUGCAGUCGAGCGGAUGAUGGGAGCUUGUGUCCUGGAUUCGGCGGCGGACGGGUGAGUAAUGCCUAGGAAUCUGCCUGGUAGUGGGGGACAACGUUUCGAAAGGAACGCUAAUACCGCAUACGUCCUACGGGAGAAAGCAGGGGACCUUCGGGCCUUGCGCUAUCAGAUGAACCUAGGUCGGAUUAACUAGUUGGUGAGGUAAUGGCUCACCAAGGCGACGAUCCGUAACUGGUCUGAGAGGAUGAUCAGUCACACUGGAACUGAGACACGGUCCAGACUCCUACGGGAGGCAGCAGUGGGGAAUAUUGGACAAUGGGCGAAAGCCUGAUCCAGCCAUGCCGCGUGUGUGAAGAAGGUCUUCGGAUUGUAAAGCACUUUAAGUUGGGAGGAAGGGCAGUAAGCGAAUACCUUGCUGUUUUGACGUUACCGACAGAAUAAGCACCGGCUAACUCUGUGCCAGCAGCCGCGGUAAUACAGAGGGUGCGAGCGUUAAUCGGAAUUACUGGGCGUAAAGCGCGCGUAGGUGGUUCGUUAAGUUGGAUGUGAAAGCCCCGGGCUCAACCUGGGAACUGCAUCCAAAACUGGCGAGCUAGAGUACGGUAGAGGGUGGUGGAAUUUCCUGUGUAGCGGUGAAAUGCGUAGAUAUAGAGAAGGAACACCAGUGGCGAAAGGCGACCACCUGCACUGAUACUGACACUGAUGUGCG
rnacentral:rRNA from 1 species